rnacentral:rRNA from 1 species
UACGUAGGGCGCAAGCGUUAUCCGGAAUUACUGGGCGUAAAGCGCGUGUAGGCGGGACGGUUAGUCGGACGUGAAAGGCUGGGGCUCAACCCCAGAUCGCCGUUCGAAACUGCCGUUCUUGAGGGUCGAAGAGGAGAGUGGAAUUCCUGGUGUAGCGGUGAAAUGCGUAGAGAUCAGGAGGAACACCCAUGGCGAAGGCAGCUCUCUGGUCGACAUCUGACGCUGAGACGCGAAAGCGUGGGGGGCAAACAGG